UUGAGAAAUUAUUAUUUUUUAACUAAUAUUUAUUGGAAAACUUCAACACAAAUUAUUUGCCAAAUAAAACUGAUGAAAAUCUCAUAACUUCAUUCAAGUUCGCAUAUAUUUUGCCAGUGUGGCCUUUGUUUUGUGUACUUAGAAUGAUUACAAGGAGAAGAAUUGCAUGUUUUAACUGCUGAUUAGACUACACAACCAGAAAUAAAUAAGCUAAAUGAAGUAUGUUAGGAUACCCAGAGAUCAUGAAAUGUGUUUGAUAGGGCUCAGACCAUGCACUUAAGGACAUCCGUCAAGAAAUCAUUGAGAUUCUACCAUAUUGAUGAAAUUGGCAAACCAGGAAGAACUGCCUGUCUUUACUGUUGGUUAGAGUACACAGCCAGAAAUAAAUAAGCUACAGGAAGUAUGUUAGGAUUCCCCAGAGAUCAUGAAAUGUGUUUGAAGGGAUAUGAAUCAGCUUUUUUGUUAUCUUGAAUAGGCAAAAUGGCACGAGAAUCUUCCAACUGGACCCAAAGUCUCUAUUUUUGGUUAGAAAAUAAAACUUAUUUAAUGUUUAUGUUCCAUGACCUGUUUAUUGUUUUAUUAAAUUUUGUCAUACAGUUAUUUAGUUUUAAUAAUUAAAGAGAAAAUUGAUCUAUAGUA
rnacentral:lncRNA from 1 species